CCCUAAUAUAAGGGACAGAAAGAGGGUCACUGCUUGUUCCUUGUAGCUUUAUGCUUGCUGCCUCACUGCCUUCUGCCUGCCGUGAACUGUUUCUCCUCUGCAAUGUCUUCCUGCCAUGCUACUCUGCCUGGAAGCCAGCCAACCAUGGACUGAAACCUCUACAAACUCCUUCAAGAAUUUAGCAGCUCUGCUCCACCUUCCACCAUGACGUUGGCAUUGGAUGCUGUUCAUCAUGGACUGAAACCAGCGGAAUCGUGUUGGAUAUUUUGUCCCAGAAACAGGAAAGCUGAUUAAUACACUCUAUCAUCCCAUUGUGCAUUGCAUGGCUUUGCAAGAAAGAUGUCCCAUGCUAUUUAGCCCUCCGCGGUCAGACACUCCACCCUGUCGCCCUUUACAUAGCAGUCCUGCAAAUGCCAAAUGCCCAGAUCACUGAGAUUUGGCCAAAAUAAA